GGCUCCUCAUCUUGUUUUGUUUUGUAAAUAUGUUGUGUGUCUUGUCUCUUAGAGUUGUGUCCUAAAUAGAGAGAAAAGAAAAGAGACAAAAUGAAAAAAAAAAGAAAAAAAAAAACAGCAAAAUGAAAAAAAAAAUGUGAAUAAUGGAGUCAAGAAGAGGAUUGAAUUAGAGGUUUUGGGAGUGAAUUGAAUGCGUUUACACUUGCUCCCCAUUGCUCCUCUAUUCCUUUUGGUUUGUAGCUUCUCAUCCAUAUUAUAUCCUCCCUUUUCC
rnacentral:lncRNA from 1 species